GAUCGCGGUUUACCCGAGGAGGAGCACAAGGAGGAGUUUGACCGUGAGCCUGAGCCGGAGGACCAGCAGCACGAGCCGGAACUCCCGGAAGGCUUUGAAGACGGCAAGUCCAAUCUCACCCUUUGAUGCAUACUUAAUACCUAGUUUUUCAAACACAACCUAUUGGCCUGUUUUAUAAAAUACAUAUUGUUUUAUUACAAGAAAUGGUUGGAUAGCCACCCCUUGAUUGUUAUGAACAUUCCUUGUUGUCCUAUGUUUAUCUCUAAAUAUGACUUGCUCUGUUUGGAUGAUAACCACUGCUAGAGUGCUUAGGAAUUUGUUACACAACUUCAAACAUUAUUACAAUGGUUUAUUUGGAGAAUAAAUAUGUGUGUGUUCAUUUGGGGACAUGGUUUUCCGGGUUCAAAGGAAAGGAAUGAGUAGACGAGAUGGAUGGGUGUUUCUUAUGUGAAAUGCUAGGAUGUUGUGCUCGUACCUUAGUGGUUGAGCAAUGUCGGGAGAUAUCCAUCUUGUCAUGGUUAAGGACCGAGUUGAUGUGUCAUCUUACCUAAUUCAACCAUCGUGCAACCACUCGACUGUUGUAUGGGCAACGGCUUAGCAUAAAUCCCACUAGUUGAACUGUUAGUCUUCAGGGGUGCUGGUGAGCAAAAGCUUACUAGAUCGUGGAGUAAGAUCUUGGUGACUUAGGUCCCGGUUACGGUCUCAUGGAUGAGUCGUUAACCCCUUGGGUGCUUCCGUGUGGACUAGUCAGUCUUGGCUAAGGUGGGUAAUGGCUUUGAUAGGAUCCGCACCGGCACUAAGGUGAUCGUGCUGCGGUACCCUACUUGUGGGAAAAGUGUACAACCUCUGCAAAGUUAAAACCUAUCCAGGUAGCCGUGUCCACGGCAUUGGUCGAGUUACGGCUUGGUCGCAUAACUAGCACUUGGGGAUGGAUGUGUGUGUGUGUGUGUGUGUAUUGGAUUUUGGAAGUGUCCGGCAGUUGUGCCGUGAGCUAUGGCGGACGGGGAGUCCGAUAGCGAUAAAAUUUGGAUCCUUUGUGUAGGAUCAACCCCACUCAAUGUUUCGGUUACUAAAGAAAAGCUUUACAAAAAUUCUUUGAAAACAAGCCCGUGCAUGUGUUGAAAACCUAGCUUUACCGCAAAUGAACCCUAGCCUAUCCUUGUUAUAUCCUGUGCAUAUACUUGCUUGUAUCCCCCUCCGUGGAUGGGGUUGGACUUGUUGAGUACGUUUGUACUCACCCUUGCUUCGUUGCUACAGAGGAAGACCCGGACUUCGUCGCCGAGGACUUUGAGUAGAGGUUGUGUACGCACCCAACACUGCCUGUGGUGUUGGCCUUUCCAAGAUGCUGCUGCUGCCGUGUAGUCCCAAGUGCUGUCUUUUGGCAGUCGCUUGGUUAGCCGUUGUUGUUUAUUUACUU
rnacentral:lncRNA from 1 species